AGAUUUGAAAGGUGAAAACAAGGAGUGAAACUGAAUGUGAAAAAUGAAAACUGCCUACCUGGUGAAAAGAAGGGAAGAAGGAAAUCAGAAGGGUAUAUAAAUCUAAAAGUCUUGGCAUUACUUCAGAUAUGCUGCAUACUCAGUUCUGCAUUUUUUGGGGGCUGCAGAACACCAAUUCUCUACAAACCACCAACUAGCAGGAAGAUAUGUUACAAUCAAUCUAUCUUUUCUAUAAUACCAGAUGCAUGUCUGCGGGUGCAGUAGAGGAUUGAUAUACAAGACAUAAGAAGUGAAACAUCAACCUGUAUUUUUGAUGAGGCAGUGCAGAAGAUGUGGAUUGGGGUCUAAGUCCAAGAACAAAGAGAUUUUGUAAAAGGAAUUUUCUGGGUUUUGAGCCUGCUGUGGGUGCAGAAAGAGGCAUGUGGACAGGGAUGCUCACAGCCCCUGUGCAAGCAGCUGGGAAUAGCUGGCGGCAGCAACUGGCACUUAUUC